rnacentral:sRNA from 1 species
GCUGGGCGUGGUGGUGCACACUUGUAAUCCCAGUGGCUUGGGAGGCUGAGGCAGGAGGAUAGUGAGUUCAAAGCCAGCCACAGCCACAGCCACAGCCACAGCUGUGGCUGUGGCUGUGGCUCAGUGGUUGAGUGCCCUUGAGUUCAAAAUUCCUGGUACCCCACCUCAA